AAGCCCCGCCCCACGCCCUACGUCGCGUUAAGUGGGGUCCCUCGCCAGCCCCGAGCUGGUCUUACGCCAUGUGGCGCUGUGGCGCGCGGAGGGGGUUGAGUUCUCUGAGGCGGCUGAGCGGCGGUCUAGACAUGCACACCACAGAGCGUGGCGAUGGAACAGUAACCGGGCUUGUGAGAGGGCUCUACACUAUCAACUAGGAGACAAGAUCCACGGAUUCACCAUAAACCAGGUAUGGGUCCUUCUCGGCACCUCCUCAUAAAUCCACAUACAUUGCAGGUGUGGUUUCUGGCAUAGGUACGGACCCUUUAGGGUGGAGACUAGCCUUGUCCUCGUGUCCCAAGGCCCUGGCCCAGCUCCUGUUGCAUGAUGGCUACUCGGCUGAACAAAGCUUGUGAGAGAAAUGACCCCCGGUCCCUUCCUGGAAUCCCGCGAAGCCUGAUUCUUGUCAGAUUUGAGAGAGUAACACUUCCAGCUGGGUCUGUCAUCAGACACACUCAGGUUUCUGCAGCCAAACCUGAUGAUUCGCUGAGUGUGAGCACGAAGACUCAGUGCCCUGAUCUGUUCAGUCAGGUUUUGCCAUCAAAUAGUUUGCUCUAAACUUCUGCAGAAUCUUUCAGUUUUCUGAGCCUUUUGGGUUUCAAAAUUAUAAAGAAGAAAUUGUGGACUUAUACUUACUUGGGUUUAUAUUAAAAUGGAUUCAUUUUUGUUUUGUUA